NNNNNNNNNNNNNNNNNNNNNNNNNNNCCCCACGGUGACCCGCGGCUCCUGGGUCCGGACUCAGAGCACUUGCCGUCGCCUUAGCGCUGUCAGCCCGCGGCGGGGGAAAGCACUUGGUUAAGAGCGAAAGUUGGGCGUCGGGGCUUUGCGUCUCGUUGGUGCCCAGAUUAGUUAGGUCCCUGGGUGCUUUGACCAAACCAGGAGGAGAGAGGCCAAGUCAAGCGACCAAGCAGGGAUGGGCCCAGGAUCCAGAUGGUCAGCCUCUCACUUGGGUAGCCCCUAUAGUCCAGGUUCCAGGACUCUGGGAACACAGCUGGAAACUCAGUGCAGAGUAGUAAGUGCUGGCACAGGGGACUCAACCCACUAAGGAUGGCACGGCUCAUGUCCCUCAUGCCGGAAGCAAAGGACAGCCCCUCAAGAGCUGGGACCCGGUCACAACCAUCACACUGAGCAGGUGCUCAGGACAGGUCUGAAUGGAUCAUUCUUAUAGGAACUGUAAUAAGCCAAUCCAGACAAGGCUCUUCUCCUAAUCCAUAUGCACUUUGACCCUGACUCGGGCCGCAGACUGAAUCAGCCCUAACCUCACCACCUGGUAAUGUUGCUUACUGUGUUUGAGCCGCAGUUUCCCUGUGCUCUAUCCAAAUGGGAACAAAAGUAUCUCCUUCUUGGAUUGUAAGGAUUAAAAUAACGAACAGAAAGUGCCCAGUACAGAGCCUGGUGUGUAGCAUUCAACAAAUGUAAUCAAUAGAAGUAUUAUGAUUGCCACUAAGAAUUGGGAGGACAGGCCCUGAUGAGGCAAACUGUCUGAAAGCCUAUGAAGGAGGAGGAAAGAGUGAAAUGCCCAGAGAAACCAGGGAAACCAGAGGGCAGCGGAAAAGACUAAUAGCACCUCAGCGGGACCACAGCUCCCAAAGGAAAAUCACAAUGAGACCGAGGGUCCUGGAAGGAGCAGAGGCCCGAUCAGAGGAGACUAGGAAUGUGUGUGAAGAUCGAGUUCCGCUGGAGAAGCAUUGGGAGACUGCUAGAGCAGUUCACAUCUUCCCAAAGGGAGAAGAGGCGGGAUUGUGGACGACAGCAGGUCGGGCUCCUGAGAAGCUGAGCUUGAGAAGAGCUGCCCCUGUGAGACUGGUUUUUUGAGGAAAUGCCCGCUGGGGAAACUGGAGAGGGUGUUGUAGGCCAAAGAAGACAAGAAAGC
ensembl:lincRNA uncharacterized LOC101681480